AUUGAACGCUGGCGGCAGGCCUAACACAUGCAAGUCGAGCGGAGCGGCGGACGGGUGAUUAAUGCCUAGGUAUCUGACUGGUAGUGGGGGAUAACGUCCGCAAACGGGCGCUAAUACCGCAUACUAUCAGAUCAGCCUAGGUCGGAUUCGCUAGUUGGUGGGGUAAAGGCCUACAAAGGCGUCGAUCCGUAUCUGGUCUGAGAGGAUGAUCAGUCACACUGGAACUGAGACACGGUCCAGACUCCUACGGGAGGCAGCAGUGGGGAAUAUUGGACAAUGGGCGAAAGCCUGAUCCAGCCAUGCCGCGUGUGUGAAGAAGGUCUUCGGAUUGUAAAGCACUUUAAGUAGGGAGGCGUUACCAACAGAAUAAGCACCGGCUAACUUCGUGCCAGCAGCCGCGGUAAUUC
rnacentral:rRNA from 1 species